AGAAUCAUAGAAUGGUUUGGGUUGGAAGGGACCUUUAAAGAUCAUCUAAUUCCAACCCCCUUGCCAUGAGCAGGGACACCUCCCACUAGACCAGGUUGCUCAGAGUCCCAUCCAACCUGGCCUUGAAUGUUUCCAGGGAUGGGGCAUCUACUGCCUCUCUGGGCAGCCUGUGCUAGUGUUGAACCACCCUCAUUGUAAAACUUUCUUCCUUAUAUUUAGUCUAAAUCUCCCCUCUUUUAGUUUAAAACUAAAAACACCCCUUUUCCUAUUGAUACAGGCCCUGCUAAAAAGUCUGUCCCUAUCUUGUAAGUUCCCUUUAAGUACUGAAAGGCUGCAGUAAUGUUUCCCCAGACCCUUUUCUCCAGGCUAAAUAACCCAACUCUCAGCCUUUUCUAUAGGCAAGGAGCUCCAGAACUCUGAUGACUUUUGUGGCUCUCCUCUGGACCCAAUCUCCAGUUUGGGCUGUUCUGGAGAUGCCCAGAGGGUCCCCGAGCUCCGGUCCCUCUGGGGUUACUUGCUGAAUCUCCCGUUUGCAGGGUGCUGGCACGGAUGAGAGGACCCUCACCCGCAUCAUGAUUUCCCAGAGUGAGAUUGACCUGCUCAACAUCCAGGGCAAGUUCAUGGACCUGUUCGACAGAUCUCUGUACCGCAUGAUUGAGAAGGACACCUCCAGUGACUGCCACAUGGCUCUGCUGUCCCUGUGCGGAGGGGAGGACUAGGUGGCUGCAGGAGCCCCUUCUUCGUGUCUGAGCCAGCACGCACGCACCCACUGCCUUGAAGUCACUGCAGCUUUGGGGGUUUCAGGGGACACUGGGCUCCCUGCAGAGGAUGAAAGCAGCAGCACAUUGCAAGGGGGGUCUUGGGGAGGGGAGCAGAGGGCUCUGGGUAAGGAGAUGUUCACAAUAAUUCAUACCCAACAUGCCACUAACCCAGGAAUUUACUCAGAUGGAAAAGACAAUUUUAGAUCUCAUAAAUAAAACCUUACUGUUGCUGA